rnacentral:rRNA from 1 species
UACGUAGGGCGCAAGCGUUGUCCGGAAUUAUUGGGCGUAAAGAGCUCGUAGGCGGUUUGUCGCGUCUGCUGUGAAAACUCGAGGCCCAACCUCGGGCUUGCAGUGGGUACGGGCAGACUAGAGUGCGGUAGGGGAGACUGGAAUUCCUGGUGUAGCGGUGGAAUGCGCAGAUAUCAGGAGGAACACCGAUGGCGAAGGCAGGUCUCUGGGCCGCAACUGACGCUGAGGAGCGAAAGCAUGGGGAGCGAACAGG